rnacentral:rRNA from 1 species
AUUGAACGCUGGCGGAAUGCUUUACACAUGCAAGUCGAACGGCAGCAUAGGUGCUUGCACCUGAUGGCGAGUGGCGAACGGGUGAGUAAUAUAUCGGAACGUGCCCAGUCGUGGGGGAUAACGUAGCGAAAGCUACGCUAAUACCGCAUACGAUCUAUGGAUGAAAGCGGGGGACCUUCGGGCCUCGCGCGAUUGGAGCGGCCGAUAUCAGAUUAGGUAGUUGGUGAGGUAAAGGCUCACCAAGCCGACGAUCUGUAGCUGGUCUGAGAGGACGACCAGCCACACUGGGACUGAGACACGGCCCAGACUCCUACGGGAGGCAGCAGUGGGGAAUUUUGGACAAUGGACGCAAGUCUGAUCCAGCCAUUCCGCGUGCAGGACGAAGGCCUUCGGGUUGUAAACUGCUUUUGUACAGAACGAAAAGGUUUCUAUUAAUACUAGGGGCUCAUGACGGUACUGUAAGAAUAAGCACCGGCUAACUACGUGCUAGCCGCCGCAGUAA